ACUUAAAUAGCUUAAUUUAGAGCAUGAUAUUGAAGAUAUCAAGGUAAUUUAAAAUUUUUAAGUA
rnacentral:tRNA from 1 species